rnacentral:misc_RNA from 1 species
CAGCAUUUGUGCCUCUCCAUAGCCUAGCAAUUCCUUCCUGUCGUAUGAUUUUGUAGAAGACAUCAAGAGUUCCUUUGUACUGAAAACAAUCAGGGGGGCAAAUUGAUACUGUUCCAUGAAUUCCAGCACGGGUGCAUGAUGGUGAACACCUUAAAUCAGCAAACAUCAUGUUUGGGCCAAAAUAUGCCAUUCGACUAGUGAUGUUACUUAGUGGGUGGGAGUAAGGAACCCCUGCAGCCUGCGCUUGCAACCUUGUCUUGGCAACGUCAAGAGGGUUAACAAUAAUAGCUGAUAAAAAGGCAGCACCAGCAGCAGAGAUAGCUCUUUCCCCAAGCCCUAAAUUCCCAUCGGUCUUACUGUUUGAUUGUUGAGACUGAGAAGCAGAGAAACCAGGCUCCGCUCCAUCUACCACCAAGGAUUCCGACACGAACAUAUCGUGACCGUUGAUUUCGACUCUUGAUAUUUGCUCUGCACUUACCCAUGGAUUCUGAGUUCUCUCUACCUCCACCAUCUCCUUUGAUCCAAAGCGGCCAAAGAGAGGAUCAAUCUGAGAAAGAGAGAGUUUUC